AAAAAGUUUUGACUUUUAAAUUUUUUUUACUACGACAGAAUCUUAGUUGACUGAUGGUCUUUGACAAAGACAGACUUGUUUUUGUGAGCUCUGAAAAAAAUUUGACUUUGAAAUAUUUUUACGAUUAAAAAGUUUCAGUUGACUUUUGAACGUUGACGAAGACGGACGUACUUUCGUGAGCUCUGACUAUUGAUGAAAAGUUUUCGCGUUAUAGAAUAGCGACUUGGUACUCAGGUUGUUGAAUGACUGGAUGACUGUAGUGUUAGGUUAUUGUUAUGAGAUAACAACUUGACUUUGACUUGAGUUGUGAAAUGAAAUCAUACUCUUAUGCGAUGAUAACUUUUGAACGUUUAGUACUGACUGACAACGAAUUUUUGUGAGCGUUAUAUAUGAAAUGUUUGACUUACAUUAAUUUUAUUGAACGACUUGACUUCAAUUUAAGUUUUGACAUCGGACUGAUCGGACGUGUUUUUUUAAGCCCUGACUGUUGUGAAUAAUUAAAUUUAUGUUGUGGUGUCAAGCGAUUGACUGUCAGUUGAGGUUCAGAUGUCGAGCUGUGCGGACGUGUUCAUCGAGCUGCUGUCUACAAAAAACGGGGCUGUGGUGAGUAUUGUAGAAUAAAUUUAUUGUAUUAUGGAAUAAAUUAACGAUGCUAAAUGAAAACUGUUAUUGUACACUUUGUAUGGAUAAACGUGUAUGACCACUCUGUCGGUUGGUUUUCAUGAAAGCAUAAAUUAUGUGAAUGAUGAUAUGAAGGGUAGAAUUCAUCAGUGCUUGUGUCUAGAAAUGCUGAAUGUUUAUUGAAAAGGCUAAAUGCUAGCCAGUACUAAGAGUUGAGCUACCGUGGGAAUGUGAAACGAACUGAUGGUGUAAUAUGAUGGUGUAUUGACAUACUUUUCUUAUAUGUACUAAAUAUGAUAUUGCUUUACUUGUAUUUGCAUGCUGUUAACAUUUUUAUUUUGUUCCAGUGUGCUGUGGUGAGUACUGUAGAUAUUACUUGAUUUUUAGUGUCUAUGAAUGCUGAUGUAUGAUAGCUAUAGCAUGAGCUCAAUGCUAACCAGUAUUAUGAGUUGAUGUAUUGUGGUGAUGCUAAUCGAACUGAUGAUGUAACAUGAUGGUGAACACUUACUGAAUGCAUAAAAUUUAUUGAAUUGCGUUUGUUGAUAUGCACUAUAAUAUGUUAAAUGUAUUGCUUAACAUGUAUAUUUCAUGAUGUUUAAUUUCAGUGGGCUGUGGUGAGUACUGUAGAUUGUAUUGCCUAUGUAUAGAAUUCAAUAAAAGAUUAUGACUGAAAACUGCUUUUGAUUCUUUUUGAACAGUUUUAGGGACUAUAAGUCUAUAACAAAAAUAUGUCGGUUGGCGUUCAUACAGCAAUGUUUUGAGUAGUACAGAAAUGUUUCUACGUUUGUGGUCGCCAGUUGUCUGUGAUGUGUAAAGUGAAAAAUACACGGAGCUUUGAAUACAACAAACAUUUACUGUUUUAACACAGAUUGUGUGCUAUGCAUUUUUCGAUGUAGAUCUUUUUCAGAUUUGACAUGAAAUGUAGACCUGACAUUUGAACAGAGCUGGGAAACGAAAAGGUAAGUUUGUUAAAUUUCACAAUGAACACUUGUGUUUUGACAAAAGAAGAGAUAAAGUGAGUUUUGUCAUCAUCAUGGUUUCUUUCAGAGUAUAACUCGUGAACAGAUGAAAACCUAUUUUUUGCUAGAUUUUCAUGUACUCUUUUUUUGGAUGAUAAGUAUGUCAGUAACUCAAAAUCAUACGGCUAGUACAGUAUGGAACAUGAAUGCUUUGUUCAGAUUUUCAGAUGUGUGCUGGCAGUUUAAGUCUGGCAGCUGAAGUGAACAGUCGUGUUUUCUGGAGCUCCAACAAUAUGCUAGAAGGUAAGUAACUAUGUUUGUUUUGCAUUGCAUGUUUUUAUAUGUUUCAGACUUUCAAGCAGAGAUGUCAUGCUGACUGGAGUUGAGCACAGGGCAGUGACAAAGUGAAAGGUAAGUACUUUUGACUGAAUGUUUGUUCUAUGCAUGUUUUGUUUCAAUACAUUUCAGGAGUGCUUAUCCAGUGAUGAUAUGACAGUUGGAGUGAACAGUGGAGCCAAGCAGUCUUGUUUUUGGAGCUACUCAACAAGCCUUGAAGGUAAGUUUAGAAUUUCUCAAUGUUAGUGAAUUGAAGUACUGUCACUUGCUUUUGGACAGUCGAACAGAACAGACGUGGUUGCGAGAGCUCUCAUAUCUGUUGUGUUAAACUGUUUUUAUGAUAUGUUAUGUUUGUUUGUUUGUUUGUGAUGUACUAUUUUUCAGAUGCUGAUGGCAGUGAUGGGUUUUCAAGCUGACCUGAACAGAAAAGCACUCAUAUGGUAAGUACAAAAUAGUUGUUAUAUGGGAUGUUUUGUGCAUGCUUUUAUGUUUCAGGUGUACUUGCUGACAGCGACGAAGACGAAUCAAGAAGAGGAACAUUGUUGAGAAAGUGAUUGGGACUUGAAAACAGGGUAAGUGUAACACUUGUGUUUGUUUAAUUUGUAACAUGCGUGCUUUGCUCUGUUUCAGAUUUCACAUGCAGAAAUUAAACAGGAUUUCAACUGCUGAGACACAAAUCAUCAAAAGUAAGGUAAGUUUUAAUCCAUUGAUUUGAGUUGUACAAUGUGUUCUUUACUUUAUUUCAGAUUCGAGUCACUGGUUUACACAUGGAAGAAGAUUUCCACGUCUGUUACUCAACUCUACAGAAGCAAGGUAAGUCGAUCAAAUUUUUGUUUUCAUUUGUACUGCUGUAAUGUGAUGGUAAACUUAUGCUAUUUUUCAUGUGUGUCAUGUACAGAUGGAUAAUUCAAGUUUGAUCUGUGUUGGUUUAUGUUCAAAAACGUUUUACAUGUAUGUGUGUUUGAAGAUGUUUUGUUUCAGUGGAUGUCCAGAUGGCAAGCAGUACAGACGUGUUUCUUGGAGCUGCCAAACAGUGAGUACAAACGUUUUAUAUUUUUCAGUUGUUUACUCAUAGAAGUCUGUGAAAGAUGAUAACAAGGGUUGAAUCUAUCAGUACUUGUGUCUAAAAAUGCUGAUGUGUGACGGUUUACUGAAAAGGGUAAAUGCUAGCCAGUACUAACACUUGAGCAACCGUGGGAUGUCGAACUAACUGAUGAUGCACUAUGAUGGUGAACACUUACUAUGUGUAUCGAAAUGCUUUUGUUGAUAUUUAUUAUAGAUGAUUUGAUAUUGGUUAACAUUUGUUUGCAUGCUGUUAACAUUUCUAUUUCAUUUCAGGGAGCUGUGGUGAGUAUUGUAGUAUACAUUUGUUUCAAUAAUGUUUGAGUAGUACAAAAAUGUCUUUACUUUUGUGAUCGCCAGUUGUCUGUGAUAUGUAACGUAAACAAAAAACACAGCUAUAAAGCAUACAAUUGUUUCGAAAUUUUAUCAAUGAUUGUAUACUAUGCAUGUUUUGAUUUAGUUCGUUUCAGAUAUGACAUGACAUGAAGAGUUGACAGUCGAACAGAGCUGAGCAAUGCAGAAAGGUAAGUGUGUUUCAUUUUAGUAUGAACACUUGUAUUUUGUUUUUAUAUGGUAUGUUUUGUGCAUGCUAUGUUUCAGGUGUACUUGUAGUCAGCGACGAAGACGAUUCAAGAAGAGGAACAUUGCUGAGAAAGUGAAUGGGACUUGCAAACAGGGUAAGUGUUACAAUUGUUCUUUUGAUUUUUGCCAUGCAUACUUUGCUUUGCUCUGUUUCAGAUUUCACAUGCAGAAAUGGUCUCAUAGCAGUGCCAACAGUGAAUAAGGAUUUCAGCUGCUGUGAAACAACUCAACAGAAAGUAGGUCAGCAUUGAAUGAAUGCACUUGAGUUGUACAAUUUGAUGUGAUGCUUUUCUCUGUUUCAGAUUCAAGUUCCUGGUGUAGACAGAGAAAUGUGUUUGAAGAAGGAAUUCUACUACUGUGAUUCAACUCUACAGAAGCAAGGUAAGUAGAAACACAAUUUUGGUUUAAUUUAACUCAUGUGUUUUGCACUGCAUGCUAUUUUUCAGGUCUCUCAUGCAGUGAUGCAAAAGAAGAAGAUUUCAAGAAAGAAUCACUGCUGCAACUCAGGCCUAUAACAAGGUAAGUGUUUACUAUAUUGUAUACAAAAUGUUUCUCUGUUUUACUCUGUUUGAAGGUUUCAAUUGCAGAGAUGUUGCAGAGAUGUUUUGACAGCUUGUGACAGAAAAGAAAUUCAGCAGCUGUGUCUCGACUCUAGCCACGAGGUAAGUCAAAACAAAUAUACUGGUUUGUAUGUUAUGUUGUUAUGCCCUUCUAUGUUUCAGACUUACAUUGCUGUGACUGUUCCACAGUGGGUCAAAAAAGGGACGAAUACAGGUUUCAAGAAGAAAAUUGGCUGUUGAAAACCUGCACAAAAUAUGAGGUAAGUAAACUAUUCUUUUGGUUUGUUUUGUGCUUUGUUAUGCUUAACUAUUUUUCAGAUUGGAAUGGUGGGUCGUUACAGAGCAGACUUUUGGACAACUGAGAAGUUGAGAAACAGAGAAUGAUUCAAGAUCAGCUAGGUAAGUCUUGAUUAUUGUGCAUUGCUAAAUGUUUUUUUUCAUUCCAGUAUGGCUGUGGUAAAUACACAAACUUUCUAUAAUUUAAUAUUGAACUGUUUUUAUGACCUGUAUUCUGCAUUGUAAAAUGUCUGUUUUUCAUUUCAGUAUCCUGUGGUAAGUACACUAACUUUCUUUAAUUUUCAUAUUGAACUGUUUUGAUGACUUGUAUACUACUAUGCAAUGCCUAAUGUUUUUUUCAUUUCAGUAGCCUGUUGGUAAGUACACUAACUUUCUAUAAUUUCAUAGUGAACUGUUUUGAUGACUUGUAUUCUGCUAUACAAAAUGUGUUUUUUUCAUUUCAGUUGCCUGUGGUAAGUACACUAACUUUCUAUCAUUUCAUAUUGAACUGUUUUGAUGACCUGUAUUUUGCAUUGUAAAAUGUGUUUCUUUUUCAUUUCAGUAUGGCUGUGGUAAGUACACAUACUUUCUAUAAUUUCAUAUUGAACUGUUUUGAUGACUUGUAUACUGCUAUGCAAAAUGUCUGUUUUUCAUUUCAGUAGCCUGUGGUAAGUACACUAACUUUCUUUAAUUUUCAUAUUGAACUGUUUUGAUGACUUGUAUUCUGCUAUACAAAAUGUGCUUUUUUCAAUUUCAGGUCAGCAAUGGUAAGUAGAUUGUGUUUCUUUAUGUAUAAUUUUGUAUACAUAUUGUUUUUUUCAUCAUAGCAUGUCUUUUAUAUUUAUGCUUUGUGUAAGUAAAAUGUUCAUAAAUCAUUCUUAUCUUCAAACUAAAAAUGUAUUGUGCUAUGCAAAAUGUCUGUAUGAUUUCAGUUGCCAGAGGUGAGUACCAUUACAGUUGAAAAGUUAGUUUUGUUUAGUUAAAGUUUUGGUUCACAGUUCUGUUUAUUAUUUGGCAAAAUUUACAUGUAUGCAUUGAGUCUUGAUUUCAGCUCGAUUGUGGACUGAAGAAGAUUGCCAGCAGAGGGAUUGGAUACAAAAUACAAACCCUACUACAAGACGAGUGUUUUCUACUACUAGACGUGUCAGGUUUACUUCCAGGCGAGCAGUGACAACAAGGCGCCUUUGUGGAAACAGCAAAACAAACAACUCUACUGCAAGACGAGCAGUAACAGCAAGGCGCCUGAACAUGCAACACAAUACAAAAAAUGCCAAUUUGCAAACCUUGAUGUGGACACCGAGUAGUCAAUACAUACGUGUGGCGUAUAGCUGCGACAAAACCGUGGGUCCAUCGCACCGAUAACUUGAACAUUGGCCCGUGUAUGGACAUCAGUGCAACUUUGUGAAUCCAUGUAUCUUUGUGAAUCCAUGUAACAUUGCGAAUGUGUGUCGAUCGAAAAAUGUGUACAUUCUGAACUGAACAGAACUCGGUGUUGCAAGUGGCAAGUGUUGACAGUGUGUAUGUUUAUGUUUAUGUUUUUACAUGAAAACUAAAGGAGAUUGUUCUCCUACCUUUUUUUUCCUUGUUUUAUUGCGCUGGCCAGCAAUAUUGAUGUAUUGAUGUAUGUGUUUGUGUUUAAACUAUGCAAUACCAAAAUCAAACAAAAAAUAAACAUUAACAGUCAUUAACUGUGUUUGGGCGGCCGAGGGGUUUAAGACUCCACAAGUGUGAAGCGCACUGAUAGCACUUGGGGGUGAACACCUCGGUAUUUCGGUGCUAAAAUGUUUUCACGGUGCUUAUCUUGACGCACUGUUAAGACUACCAACCAGUUAAUGAUUGCUUCAUCUUUAAACAAAAAGUAAGUCUCUACUUUGGCACAAGAGACUCCAAGUACCAAAUACCAACAAUUAAAAAGCAGACGUUUUUCAAAACUAUGAUCGCUGAGAUUGAUAGUCAGAUGGAGUCCUGCCCAUUUAGCUGUGUAGCGGUCUAGGGCGGGG